ACGAACGCUGGCGGCGUGCUUCACACAUGCAGGUCGAACGGUGAAGCGCCUUCCUUUUUGGUGGGUGUGGAUGAGUGGCGAACGGGUGAGUAACACGUGAGUAACCUGCCCCCUUCUUCUGGAUAACCGCAUGAAAGUGUGGCUAAUACGGGAUAUUCUGGGUCUGUCGCAUGAUGGGUCUGGGAAAGAUAUUGUUUCGGUGGGGGAUGGGCUCGCGGCCUAUCAGCUUGUUGGUGGGGUGAUGGCCUACCAAGGCGGUGACGGGUAGCCGGCCUGAGAGGGUGGACGGUCACACUGGGACUGAGACACGGCCCAGACUCCUACGGGAGGCAGCAGUGGGGAAUAUUGCACAAUGGGCGCAAGCCUGAUGCAGCGACGCCGCGUGAGGGAUGGAGGCCUUCGGGUUGUGAACCUCUUUCGCCAGUGAAGCAGGCCUGCCUCGUUUGUGGGUGGGUUGACGGUAGCUGGAGAAGAAGCGCCGGCUAACUACGUG
rnacentral:rRNA from 1 species